ensembl:snRNA U6 U6 spliceosomal RNA
GUGCUUGAUUCAGUAGGACAUACACUAAAAUUGGAACAAUACAGAGAUUAGCAUGGCCCUGGUGCAAGAAUGACAUGCAAACUUGUGAAGUGUUCCAUAUUUUU